rnacentral:rRNA from 1 species
UGGCGGCGUGCUUAACACAUGCAAGUCGAACGGUGAACCCAGCUUGCUGGGUGGAUCAGUGGCGAACGGGUGAGUAACACGUGAGCAAUCUGCCCCUGACUCUGGGAUAAGCGCUGGAAACGGCGUCUAAUACUGGAUACGAACAGCGACCGCAUGGUCAGUUGUUGGAAAGAAUUUCGGUCAGGGAUGAGCUCGCGGCCUAUCAGCUUGUUGGUGAGGUAAUGGCUCACCAAGGCGUCGACGGGUAGCCGGCCUGAGAGGGUGACCGGCCACACUGGGACUGAGACACGGCCCAGACUCCUACGGGAGGCAGCAGUGGGGAAUAUUGCACAAUGGGCGCAAGCCUGAUGCAGCAACGCCGCGUGAGGGACGACGGCCUUCGGGUUGUAAACCUCUUUUAGCAGGGAAGAAGCGAAAGUGACGGUACCUGCAGAAAAAGCGCCGGCUAACUACGUGCCAGCAGCCGCGGUAAUACGUAGGGCGCAAGCGUUAUCCGGAAUUAUUGGGCGUAAAGAGCUCGUAGGCGGUUUGUCGCGUCUGCUGUGAAAUCCCGAGGCUCAACCUCGGGUCUGCAGUGGGUACGGGCAGACUAGAGUGCGGUAGGGGAGAUUGGAAUUCCUGGUGUAGCGGUGGAAUGCGCAGAUAUCAGGAGGAACACCGAUGGCGAAGGCAGAUCUCUGGGCCGUAACUGAC